GAUCGAACCAAUCGCUGCUCGCAUGUCCUUUCAUGGUAAAGUACAUCUAGUCAUGAACACGGAAAUACGCAGCAAAACCUUGUUACUCAAAGACCCAGCUACUCUCUGACAGUCACCAUCAGACCAUCAGACCACCAGAUGGACAGGCUGUGGGUCACUCUGAUUGCAUUCUUAUGUGCUGUUUCCUCCAGUCAGUUCAUCCUAACACUGUUCCUCUGCUACCUGUUGGUGCUGUUUCCUCCAGUCAGGAUGGGAUCUCUGCAGCAGAGGUGGAGCUGAGAGUCAGACCAGGAGACAACAUCACCCUCUAUAGUGACUGUAGAACAACAAAUGCAAUGUACACAGUCUGGUUCAGGAAUUGGUCUCAUGAGCACCAGCCUCCUCUUGUUAUUACAUAUGUUAUUACAUAUUAUGAGAACAUCACUGCAUCUGACCUGGGACUCUACUACUGUGCUCCAACUGAGACUCAGGGGAGGUGACAGCAGAGAGCAGACUGCUGUCAAAGGUAGGGGGCAGUAUUUUGACGUCCGGAUGAAAGGCAUGCCAGUAGUAAACUGCCUGCUACUCAGACUCAGAAUAAACCUGUCCUCCUGACUGUCUAUGUCCAGAAACCAGUCCUCCUGACUGUCUAUUGCCAGAAAUCAGUCCUCCUGAGCCAUCCUCGUCCUCCCUUCCUCCUGUAGACUGUGGUCUGUGUUGGAUGUUGCUGUUCAGUCUGUGUCCUGUGUCUGCUCUCCUCUACUCCGCCUGCGUCUACUCCUUUUACAGAACAACAGCUCCAACUGAGACUCAGGUUCCUCUGAACAGGACUUCAACCAGGUACAUACACAUCUAUCAAUACCAGCAGAGUGUGAGACCUAUACCAGUCAUCAAUACCAGCAGAGUGAGACCUAUACCAUCCAUCAAUACCAGCAGAGCGUGGGACCUAUACCAGCCAUCAAUACCAGCAGAGUGAUACCAUUACCAUCCAUCAAUACCAGCAAAGUGUGAGACCUAUACCAAUGUAGCUGGGAGGGCAUUAUUUUUAAGAGUUACUUAAUUUUUUUUAACCUUUUCAUACAAGUGAUUUUUUAAAAAACUUUUGUCUGUAACCUUUUAAUAAUAAUAACAAUAGUGAUUUAGAAAAUGUGGUUAAGAUCAGGGAAUAAUGGUUAAAUAGCUGUUGUUACAGUCUUAGUUUGUAAUUCUAGGUGUUAAAGUUCAUUGUUUUCCAUUUGUAAGUGUAUUGAUAUGUGUUAAUGUAGCUGAAUACAUAUUGAUUCAGUUUAAUUACAUUUUAUUUGAUUAUUUAUUUGUCUCCCCUUAACUUCUCUUAGAGCGUGAGGUCAUUAUAUUUGGUUUGACAAAUGCUCCAGCAAACCAAUCAGAGCAAUUUGAGGGUGUGGGUAGAUGUGAAGGGUUGAGACUUUGGUGAAGAAGGUGUGGCUUAGAAAUAAAGAGGGUGUGGCUUUAGAGGAUGACUGAGAUGCAUAUAAAGAGCAUGGAGGUUAAGGGGUGUGACGUAUAUGUUAAGGGUGUGAUUUAUAUGUUAAGGGUGUGAUUUAUAUGUUAAGGGGUGUGGUUUAUAUGUUAAGAGGUGUGAUUUGAAUGUUACGGUGUGUGAUUUAUAUGUUAAUGUGUGUGGUUUAUAUGUUAAGGUGUGAUUUAAAUGUUAAGAGGUGUGAUUUAAAUGUUAAGAUGUGUGGUUUUAGUGGAAUACAGAGUUGUUGAGUAGAACCAGAGUAGUUUCUAUGGUUUCAUAAACAUGAAGCCCAGGGCUCUUUAACCCUGUUCCUGGAAAACUACCAUCCUGUAGGUUUUCACUCCAACCCUAAUCUAGCACAAUAAUAUUUAGCUCGUUGAUAAACUGAUUCGGGUUAGUUACAACUGGGGUUGGAUAUCCCUGACCCUGUAUAUGGUUGAACAUUUUCAGUUUUAAAUGAAGCUCCGUGAAGCUUUCAGUGAAAGCACAUUAUCAAUAGAGUUACAUAGUGAAACCAGAUUAAUUAUACUACAUUAUCAAUGGAGUUACAUAGUGAAAUCAGGUGAAUUAUACCACAUCAUUAGAGUAACAUAGUGAAAUCAGGUUAAUUAUACCACAUUAUCAAUAGAGUUACAUAAUGUAAUCAGGUUAAUUAUACUACAUUAUCGAUAGAGUUACAUAGUAACAUCAGGUUAAUUAUAUCACAUUAUCAAUAGAGUUACAUAGUGAAAUCAGGUUAAUUAUACCACAUUAUCAAUAGAGUUACAUAGUGAAAUCAGGUUAAUUAUACCACAUUAUCAACAGAGUUACAUAGUGAAAUCAGGUUAAUUAUAUCACAUUAUCAACAGAGUUACAUAGUGAAAUCAGGUUAAUUAUACCACAGUAUCAACAGAGUUACAAAGUGAAAUCAGGUUAAUUUUACCACAAAACAGUAGUCUCUGAAAAAGCAUGAUUUAAUUCCAGAAGAUAACCAUUACAUGUAUUUUCACCAAAUACUAAUCAUACAUGAAAAGUAGAUAAUUUCAUCUGAAUGAAGAGCAGAUACAACAGAAAGUGCAUGUUCAAUCUAUUAAAAGUAGAAAAUAAAUGUAAAAACUUUGAAUGCAACCAAAUUAAAGCCUUUUGGUG
rnacentral:lncRNA from 1 species